rnacentral:rRNA from 1 species
AUGUUGUUUUCUAUCAGUCCCAAGCGGAUACUCCCCAGCUUCCACGGUCCGCUUACCGAGGAAGAGAUGCGGGAGGACCCAGGGCCAGAGCAAGUUGGGUUGGGGUAUAGAGCCGUAAGCGCGGUGGGGGUGACAGAGGAUGUGCUCGUACGGUUCAUAGUUGGGUAUGAUAUUCUCGUGGAUUGUUGGGAACGUCCUCUAUAUUCGAAAUAUGCCUUUCUAGGAGCAUUAUGA